rnacentral:misc_RNA from 1 species
GAUGAAGAACGUAGCGAAAUGCGAUAAGUAAUGUGAAUUGCAGAAUUCAGUGAAUCAUCGAAUCUUUGAACGCACAUUGCGCCCCCUGGUAUUCCGGGGGGCAUGCCUGUUCGAGCGUCAUUUCACCACUCAAGCUCAGCUUGGUGUUGGGGCCUGCUGCACUGGCAGCCCUUAAAAUCAGUGGCGGCGCCAUCUGGCUCUAAGCGUAGUAAUUCUUCUCGCUAUGGAGUCCUGGUGGAUGCUUGCCAUCAACCCCCAAUUUUUCUAUGGUUGACCUCGGAUCAGGUAGGGAUACCCGCUGAACUUAAGCAUAUCAAUAAGCGGAGGA